UCGACGUUACGGUGAAAUGUGUCGGUUUGGUUCAAUUUGCAGAAAGUUGUGCCCUAACGAACUCGUGUCUUCCGCCAAUCUUGGGAAGGACAGCAGUGGAGAAGAGACUGAGAGAUGGCGGCGAAGAAGACGCUGAUCGCCGUGGGGUUCGAGGGAUCGGCGAACAAGAUCGGGGUGGGGUUGGUCGUCCUCGACGGCACCAUCCUCUCCAACCCCCGCCACACCUACAUUACGCCGUCCGGCCACGGCUUUCUUCCUCGCGAGACCGCCCACCACCACCUCCGCCACCUCCUCCCCCUCCUCCGCUCUGCCCUCUCCGGCGCUGGCAUCACCCGUGCGGACGUAGACUGCCUUUGCUACACCAAGGGCCCCAGCAUCGGCGCUCCCCUACAGGUCUCCGCCGUCGCCGCCGUCCGCGCCCUCUCUCAGCUAUGGGAGAAGCCUAUCGUCGCCGUCAACCACUGCGUUGCCCAUAUCGAGAUGGGCCGGGUCGUCACGGGCGCCGAGGACCCCGUCGUGCUUUGUGUCAGUAGAGGGAAUACUCUCAUAUCGUACAGCGAGGGCAAGUACCGGAUAUUCGGGGGGACUAUAGACAUCGCCGUUGGUAAUUGCCUGGAUCGCUUUGCGGGGGUUUUUACCCUGUCCAAUGAUCCCAGCCCCGGAUAUAAUAUCGAGCAGUACUUCUGAUGUUUUACUUCAUUGGAAGCAUGCCUUCUUUAACUCACUUGAUUGUGGCUAUUGUUGAAUUCAACUCGUGAAGAAAGGAGUGAAGUUUAUGGAUCUUCCUUAUGUUGUCAAGGGAAACAGUUUGUGCUAUGCUUGUUGAGAUCAUUGAACGUGCAAUGGCACACUGUGAUAAGAAGGAUGUUCUAAUUGUUGGUGGCGUAGGAUGCAAUGAUCGAUUACAAGAGCUGAUGAGAGUAAUGUGCUCAGAGAGAGGGGGCAAGCUGUUUGCAACUGAUGAUAGAUAUUGUAUUGACAAUGGAGCAAUGAUAGCAUACACAGGUCUCCUUGCUUUUGCACAUGGCAUGACCACCCCACUAGAGGAAUCAACAUUUACCCAGAGGUUCUGCACUGAUGAAGUUCAAGCAAUUUGGAGAGAGAAAAACAUCCCAGAAGUGGAUAAUUUGCAAUGACAACCAUGAAGAGUAGCAAAUUUUAAAGAAAAAUUGACUCUUAAGGAAGAACAGUAUCGGCACCAUAACCCAUGCCUUGAAGCUCCAAUCUCUCAUCAAUCUGUAAUAUAUAUUGCUUCAUUGGCUUUUGCCCAAAUGUUGUUGUAUUGUUAUCAUGGUGACAUGUGGUAUCCAUACAGCCUAACCAACAUUAAUUGACCCAUUUAACUUCUUUGUUACAUUGUUUCCCUUGUUUACCCUUUUUUUUUCUAUCAGAUAUUUCAUUUAGUUAGUGGAAAAUUAACAAGGUUACAGUUCUUCCUGCAUUCAUCAAUUUUCUUUAAUAUUCUUUUGUCUAAAUCUACAGGAGAUGAUGAA